rnacentral:rRNA from 1 species
GGUUAAGUUAGAAAGGGCGCACGGUGAAUGCCUUGGCACUAGGAGCCGAUGAAGGACGGGACUAACACCGAUAUGCUUCGGGGAGCUGUAAGUGAGCUUUGAUCCGGAGAUUUCCGAAUGGGGAAACCCACUGUUCGUAAUGGAGCAGUAUCUUUAUCUGAAUACAUAGGAUAUUGAAGGCAGACCCGGGGAACUGAAACAUCUAAGUACCCGGAGGAAGAGAAAGCAAAUGCGAUUUCCUGAGUAGCGGCGAGCGAAACGGAAUUAGCCCAAACCAAGAGGCUUGCCUCUUGGGGUUGUAGGACACUCUAUACGGAGUUACAAAGGAACGAAGUAAAUGAAGCGACCUGGAAAGGUCCGUCGAAGAAGGUAACAACCCUGUAGUUGAAACUUCGUUCCCUCUUGAGUGGAUCCUGAGUACGGCGGAACACGUGAAAUUCCGUCGGAAGCUGGGAGGACCAUCUCCCAAGGCUAAAUACUACCUAGUGACCGAUAGUGAACCAGUACCGUGAGGGAAAGGUGAAAAGCACCCCGGAAGGGGAGUGAAAGAGAUCCUGAAACCGUGUGCCUACAAGUAGUCAGAGCCCGUUAACGGGUGAUGGCGUGCCUUUUGUAGAAUGAACCGGCGAGUUACGAUCCCAUGCAAGGUUAAGCUGAUAAGGCGGAGCCGUAGCGAAAGCGAGUCUGAAUAGGGCGUUUAGUAUGUGGUUGUAGACCCGAAACCAGGUGAUCUACCCAUGUCCAGGGUGAAGUUCAGGUAACACUGAAUGGAGGCCCGAACCCACGCACGUUGAAAAGUGCGGGGAUGAGGUGUGGGUAGCGGAGAAAUUCCAAUCGAACCUGGAGAUAGCUGGUUCUCUCCGAAAUAGCUUUAGGGCUAGCCUCAUGUUGUGAGAGUCUUGGAGGUAGAGCACUGAUUGGACUAGGGGCCCCCAACGGGUUACCGAAUUCAGUCAAACUCCGAAUGCCAAAGACUUAUCCAUGGGAGUCAGACUGCGAGUGAUAAGAUCCGUAGUCAAAAGGGAAACAGCCCAGACCACCAGCUAAGGUCCCCAAGUAUACGUUAAGUGGAAAAGGAUGUGGAGUUGCUUAGACAACCAGGAUGUUGGCUUAGAAGCAGCCACCAUUUAAAGAGUGCGUAAUAGCUCACUGGUCGAGUGACUCUGCGCCGAAAAUGUACCGGGGCUAAACGUAUCACCGAAGCUGUGGAUUGACAUCUUUGAUGUCAGUGGUAGGAGAGCGUUCUAAGUGCUGUGAAGUCAGACCGUAAGGACUGGUGGAGCGCUUAGAAGUGAGAAUGCCGGUAUGAGUAGCGAAAGACAAGUGAGAAUCUUGUCCACCGAAUGCCUAAGGUUUCCUGAGGAAGGCUCGUCCGCUCAGGGUUAGUCGGGACCUAAGCCGAGGCUGAAAAGCGUAGGCGAUGGCCAACAGGUUGAUAUUCCUGUACCACCUCCCCGCCGUUUGAGUAAUGGGGGGACGCAGUAGGAUAGGGUAAGCGCGCUGCUGGAUAUGCGCGUUCAAGCAGUUAGGCUGAUGAGUAGGCAAAUCCGCUCAUCAUAAAGGCUGAGCUGUGAUGACGAGGGAAUUAUAGUACCGAAGUUCCUGAUUCCACACUGCCAAGAAAAGCCUCUAGCGAGGCGGGAGGUGCCCGUACCGCAAACCGACACAGGUAGGCGAGGAGAGAAUCCUAAGGUGAUCGAGAGAACUCUCGUUAAGGAACUCGGCAAAAUGACCCCGUAACUUCGGGAGAAGGGGUGCUCUGGUAGGGUGUAUAGCCCGAGAGAGCCGCAGUGAAUAGGCCCAGGCGACUGUUUAGCAAAAACACAGGUCUCUGCGAAGCCGCAAGGCGAAGUAUAGGGGCUGACGCCUGCCCGGUGCUGGAAGGUUAAGAGGAGGGGUUAUCCUUUGGGAGAAGCUCUGAAUCGAAGCCCCAGUAAACGGCGGCCGUAACUAUAACGGUCCUAAGGUAGCGAAAUUCCUUGUCGGGUAAGUUCCGACCCGCACGAAAGGCGUAACGAUCUGGGCACUGUCUCAACGAGAGACUCGGUGAAAUUAUAGUACCUGUGAAGAUGCAGGUUACCCGCGACAGGACGGAAAGACCCCGUGGAGCUUUACUGUAGCCUGAUAUUGAAUUUUGGUACAGCUUGUACAGGAUAGGUAGGAGCCUGAGAAGCCGGAGCGCUAGCUUCGGUGGAGGCGUCGGUGGGAUACUACCCUGGCUGUAUUGAAAUUCUAACCCGCGGCCCUGAUCGGGCCGGGAGACAGUGUCAGGUGGGCAGUUUGACUGGGGCGGUCGCCUCCUAAAAUGUAACGGAGGCGCCCAAAGGUUCCCUCAGAAUGGUUGGAAAUCAUUCGUAGAGUGUAAAGGCACAAGGGAGCUUGACUGCGAGACCUACAAGUCGAGCAGGGACGAAAGUCGGGCUUAGUGAUCCGGUGGUUCCGCAUGGAAGGGCCAUCGCUCAACGGAUAAAAGCUACCCCGGGGAUAACAGGCUUAUCUCCCCCAAGAGUCCACAUCGACGGGGAGGUUUGGCACCUCGAUGUCGGCUCAUCGCAUCCUGGGGCUGUAGUCGGUCCCAAGGGUUGGGCUGUUCGCCCAUUAAAGCGGUACGCGAGCUGGGUUCAGAACGUCGUGAGACAGUUCGGUCCCUAUCCGUCGUGGGCGUAGGAAAUUUGAGAGGAGCUGUCCUUAGUACGAGAGGACCGGGAUGGACACACCGCUGGUGUACCAGUUGUCUUGCCAAAGGCAUCGCUGGGUAGCUAUGUGUGGACGGGAUAAGUGCUGAAAGCAUCUAAGCAUGAAGCCCCCCUCAAGAUGAGAUUUCCCAUAGCGCAAGCUAGUAAGAUCCCUGAAAGAUGAUCAGGUUGAUAGGUCAGAGGUGGAAGCGUGGCGACAUGUGUAGCUGACUGAUACUAAUCGAUCGAGGACUUAACCAA